rnacentral:rRNA from 1 species
UACGUAGGAGACGAGCGUUGUCCGGAGUUACUGGGCGUAAAGGGCUCGUAGGCGGCCAACUAAGUCAGACGUGAAAUCCCUCGGCUUAACCGGGGAACUGCGUCUGAUACUGGAUGGCUUGGAGGUUGGGAGAGGGAUGCGGAAUUCCAGGUGUAGCGGUGAAAUGCGUAGAUAUCUGGAGGAACACCGGUGGCGAAGGCGGCAUCCUGGAGCCAAUUCGUCGACGCUGACGGAGCGAAAGCCAGGGGGAGCAAACGGG